rnacentral:tRNA from 1 species
AGGAGUGUGGCUUAGUGGCAAGAGCGCAGGCUUGGGAGUCAGAGGCAUGGGUUUAAAUCCCAGCUCUGCCA